rnacentral:rRNA from 1 species
GCUCUUUUAGGUCUUGUAAUUGGAAUGAGUACAAUUUAAAUCCCUUAACGAGGAACAAUUGGAGGGCAAGUCUGGUGCCAGCAGCCGCGGUAAUUCCAGCUCCAAUAGCGUAUAUUAAAGUUGUUGUGGUUAAAAAGCUCGUAGUUGAACCUUGGGCCUGGCUGGCCGGUCCGCCUCACCGCGUGUACUGGUCCGGCCGGGCCUUUCCCUCUGUGGAACCCCAUGCCCUUCACUGGGUGUGGCGGGGAAACAGGACUUUUACUUUGAAAAAAUUAGAGUGCUCCAGGCAGGCCUAUGCUCGAAUACAUUAGCAUGGAAUAAUAGAAUAGGACGUGUGGUUCUAUUUUGUUGGUUUCUAGGACCGCCGUAAUGAUUAAUAGGGACAGUCGGGGGCAUCAGUAUUCAAUUGUCAGAGGUGAAAUUCUUGGAUUUAUUGAAGACUAACUACUGCGAAAGCAUUUGCCAAGGAUGUUUUCAUUAAUCAGGAACGAAAGUUAGGGGAUCGAAGACGAUCAGAUACCGUCGUAGUCUUAACCAUAAACUAUGCCGACUAGGGAUCGGACGAUGUUAUUUUUUGACUCGUUCGGCACCUUACGAGAAAUCAAAGUGCUUGGGCUCCAGGGGGAGUAUGGUCGCAAGGCUGAAACUUAAAGAAAUUGACGGAAGGGCACCACCAGGGGUGGAGCCUGCGGCUUAAUUUGACUCAACACGGGGAAACUCACCAGGUCCAGACACAAUGAGGAUUGACAGAUUGAGAGCUCUUUCUUGAUUUUGUGGGUGGUGGUGCAUGGCCGUUCUUAGUUGGUGGAGUGAUUUGUCUGCUUAAUUGCGAUAACGAACGAGACCUUAACCUGCUAAAUAGCCCGUAUUGCUUUGGCAGUAUGCUGGCUUCUUAGAGGGACUAUCGGCUCAAGCCGAUGGAAGUUUGAGGCAAUAACAGGUCUGUGAUGCCCUUAGAUGUUCUGGGCUCACGCGCGCUACACUGACGGAGCCAGCGAGUUCUCCCUUGGCCGGAAGGUCCGGGUAAUCUUGUUAAACUCCGUUGUGCUGGGGAUAGAGCAUUGCAAUUAUUGCUCUUCAACGAGGAAUCCCUAGUAAGCGCAAGUCAUCAGCUUGCGUUGAUUACGUCCCUGCCCUUUGUACACACCGCCCGUCGCUACUACCGAUUGAAUGGCUCAGUGAGGCGUCCGGACUGGCCCAGAGAGGUGGGCAACUACCCCUCAGGGCCGGAAAGCUCUC